ACUUAUCUUAUAUAUAAAAAUGAAUCGCUAAAAUCGUUGGUAAGCGCAUAACUCGAGAACGCGUGGACCAAUUUGGCCAAUUCUUUUUUUGUAAUAUUCGUCGAAGUUCAAGGAUGGUUUUUACGGCGAGAAAAUAUCAAAUAAUUGACGGAAAAGCCCUAAAAACAGCCCUUUUCUUUAUCCCAUACAAACGUUUUCUAACUAAUACGUAGAGUCAAUUUGAGCUUUAUUGCUAUUGGAUAAAGUUCAUAUUGCUAUUGGAUAUUAAAAAACAAAUGCUAUUAGAUAAGUGUGCGUUGGAGACUUGGAGCACAGAAUCCCUACUAAUAUUAUAAAUGCGAAAGUAACUCUGUCUGUCUGUAAUUACGCUUUCACGCCUAAACCAGUGAACCGAUUUUGAUAAAAUUUGGUAGUGAGAUAGAAUAGCCUUACUUGAUACUUUAUAUUGAAUGAGAAUGGGUAAAAGUAGGGGAUAAAUGGUCAUAUGGAAAUUCGUCAUUUUAAAAGCUGUAACAGUAAAACUUUGUAUUUAGAUACUUAAUGAGGAACGAAAGAACAUGGUCUACUUUUUAUUGCAAAAAAAUUGGGGAGAGUGGGUAAAAAUAGGGGAUAAAUGGUCAUAUGGAAAUUCGUCAUUUUUAAAGCUGUAACAGUGAAAUUUUGUGUUUAGACACUUAAUGAGGAGCGAAAGAACAUAGGCUACUGUUUAAUAAAAAGGGUAGAAGGCGUAGAACGCUUGAUAGAGGAGAUUAAUGUUUGCUUGAAAAUUCGUCAUUUUCGGUAAUACGUUGCCUGUGGCUUCACUCGCGUUCGAUUCUUAUUUAAAUACACAUCUACUUAUUUAAAUCGCCAAAAUCCCUACUACCAUACUAAUGUUAUGAAUGCGAAAGUAACCCUGUUUGUGUUGAGGUUAUGCUUGCACGAAUGUUUUUUUUUUUGGAAUAUAACAACGAAACAAUGUAUUUUUUAUUGAUAGGCAAUAUAUAGGAAAUUAAAGGAUAAUAAUAUAGAUAACCUUGGCUAUUUUUCAUCAUGAUUAUAAAAUGAUGAAUCGGCGGUCGUGGUUUCUUUGGAAUACAUAUCUUUAAAAAUGCUAACAGUAACAUAUUCUCAAGUAAUUCACAUUUUAGAUGACAUACGGCAGCAUUUUGACCACUAACACCACAACGCGGACGAAGUCGCGGGCAAAAGCUAGAUUCAAUAAAUUUUCAUUUGUACAUGUCAAAUAUUUGUUGUUUCUAAAUUCAAAUUUUGUAAAUAAUGAUUGACAUUUAUGCAUAAACUAUGAAAAGGAUGAAUAAAAAAUUGUCUGUAUUUUUUUUAAUCUAUUGAAAAUGUUGAAAAGUGCAUUAAGCAUUAAUAGAAAUUCCUCAAAUAUUUAUGCAAGCGUUCAGAAAUAAUGACAAAUUAUCAACAGUUACCCGUGUGUUCAGAAAUUAAUUUUGUGUAAAUUAAAAUUUUUAUUCACGUUUCCGAACAAACGAUGCUCUUUCAAUAUAGUCUAUUGGUGUGAAUGACAUUGACAUUCGUAUUGCGCGUUUUUUUAAAUAUACAAAAUUAAAUGUAUAUUUUUCAAUAUUUCUGAGAGAUUAUCUUAAUAUUUCUUCGAGUUUUAAAGACUAAGAAGAUUUUUAUUUGCUAACUAGCUGACCCAGCGAACUUCGUACCGCUUUCGCGUAGCAAUGAUGCUCUACUUUAUUUUGUAAGGUAAGUUCAUAUCUUCAUGUUGAUUUUUAGUCACUUUUGGUGACUACACAAUACUACAAUUUGGUAUACAUGGUUAUGCAGAAAAUGUAUGAGAGCUUUUUAUUUUCAGUUGGAAUUUCGUUUUUAACAAUGCUACCAACCAGACGUACAAGCUUAGGCCGCAGAACUCGAAAUACGGCAAGUCAAAGAAAUAUAAGAGCAAAUCAUACUGAUGAGUAACGCAAAGCGCGAAAUGAACUUGAACUGAAUCGAUAUCAAGAUAGAAAUGUUGUGUUUAAUCCCCACAAAGCUGCAUUCAGUUAUAAUGUGGCAAUUGAUUACAGUUCAGAGCAAAUUGUUGCUAUUGGACUAAUGAACAUUGUAUGUCCACAUUGGGAUUGAAAUUAAAAAAUGAAGCCUCUGGAUUGUGUUGCGCCAGCGGCCAAGUCAAAUUGACGCCAUUGGUACCGCCACCAGAGCCACUACAUUCAUUGGUUCAUUUUUUGACUCAUAUCCAACAGUACAAUAAUUGCUUUCAAAUGACAUCAUUUGGGGCAACAAAAGUUAUACGAGACAAUUUUUUGCCUACUUUUAGCAAAUUCAGGGAUUCAAAUAUAUCAUCAAACAGGUUCCUUAUUGCCAGUCCCUGUUGAAGACUGUACAUUUUUGCAAUUAUAUUUUAUGGACAAUUCAGCAAGAGAAGUCGAUCAGCGUUGCGCACACAACAACUCAGUAAAGAGAUCCAUUGUGAUGAACAACAUCAAACAUUUUUCCUUCAACACAAUGAAUUAGUUGCAUUAGACCGAUGCAUUAGACAUUCACAAAUGCAUUAGACCGCAUGCCAUCAGAUAAUCACAAAAUUGUCAUCAGAGCCGAUAUUAAGGCGCCUGCAGGACAGUGAAAUUAUUAAAUCCUUUGAAAUAAACAUUAUUAUGAAAA